rnacentral:rRNA from 1 species
AUGGCGGGGCAGCCGCCGCAGGGCCCGGAGGACGACUUCCUCGACCAGUUCUUCUCCCUCACCAACUCCCUCUCCGCCGCCGGCCGCCCCUCCGGCGACCAGCCCUUCUCCCUCGCCCUCAGCCUCGACGCCGCCUCGGACGCCUCCGGCAGCAGGGGCGGCAUCGGCGACGACGCCGGCAACGCCGCGGAGCGGGACGGCGUGCAGCUCCCCGGCCUCUUCCCGCCGGUGUUCGGCGGUGGCCUCCAGCCGCCGCACCUUCGCCCCAGCCACCCUCCCCCACAGAUGUUCCACGCGCAGCAGCCGAAGCAGGGCGGGCCGGCUGGAGGGCCGCAGCCGCCGGCGCCGAGGCCGAAGGUGCGGGCGCGUCGCGGUCAGGCGACUGAUCCCCACAGCAUCGCGGAGAGGCUAAGAAGAGAGAGGAUAGCGGAAAGGAUGAGGGCCCUACAGGAAUUGGUCCCCAAUACGAACAAGACAGAUAGGGCAGUUAUGCUAGAUGAGAUCCUGGAUUAUGUGAAGUUCCUUAGGCUUCAAGUAAAGGUGUUAAGCAUGAGCAGAUUGGGUGGUGCUGGUGCUGUUGCACAGCUGGUUUCUGACAUUCCACUUUCAGUUAAGGGGGAAGCAAGCGAUGGUGGGAGCAAACAGCAGAUAUGGGAAAAGUGGUCAACGGAUGGCACGGAAAAACAGGUUGCGAAGCUGAUGGACGAGGACAUCGGUGCCGCAAUGCAAUUUCUCCAAUCAAAGGCUCUCUGCAUGAUGCCAGUCUCCCUUGCCAUGGCUAUCUAUGACACACAACAUUCACAGGACGGCCAACCAGUGAAGCCUGAACCCAACAACACUGCCUAG